rnacentral:rRNA from 1 species
GGCAGGCUUAACACAUGCAAGUCGAGCGGAGUGAUGGUGCUUGCACUAUCACUUAGCGGCGGACGGGUGAGUAAUGCUUAGGAAUCUGCCUAUUAGUGGGGGACAACAUCUCGAAAGGGAUGCUAAUACCGCAUACGUCUACGGGAGAAAGCAGGGGAUCACUUGUGACCUUGCGCUAAUAGAUGAACUAAGUCGGAUUAGCUAGUUGGUGGGGUAAAGGCCUACCAAGGCGACGAUCUGUAGCGGGUCUGAGAGGAUGAUCCGCCACACUGGGACUGAGACACGGCCCAGACUCCUACGGGAGGCAGCAGUGGGGAAUAUUGGACAAUGGGGGGAACCCUGAUCCAGCCAUGCCGCGUGUGUGAAGAAGGCCUUAUGGUUGUAAAGCACUUUAAGCGAGGAGGAGGCUNNNUUGGUUAAUACCCAAGAUGAGUGGACGUUACUCGCAGAAUAAGCACCGGCUAACUCUGUGCCAGCAGCCGCGGUAAUACAGAGGGUGCAAGCGUUAAUCGGAUUUACUGGGCGUAAAGCGCGCGUAGGCGGCCAAUUAAGUCAAAUGUGAAAUCCCCGAGCUUAACUUGGGAAUUGCAUUCGAUACUGGUUGGCUAGAGUGUGGGAGAGGAUGGUAGAAUUCCAGGUGUAGCGGUGAAAUGCGUAGAGAUCUGGAGGAAUACCGAUGGCGAAGGCAGCCAUCUGGCCUAACACUGACGCUGAGGUGCGAAAGCAUGGGGAGCAAACAGGAUUAGAUACCCUGGUAGUCCAUGCCGUAAACGAUGUCUACUAGCCGUUGGGGCCUUUGAGGCUUUAGUGGCGCAGCUAACGCGAUAAGUAGACCGCCUGGGGAGUACGGUCGCAAGACUAAAACUCAAAUGAAUUGACGGGGGCCCGCACAAGCGGUGGAGCAUGUGGUUUAAUUCGAUGCAACGCGAAGAACCUUACCUGGCCUUGACAUAGUAGAAACUUUCCAGAGAUGGAUUGGUGCCUUCGGGAAUCUACAUACAGGUGCUGCA